rnacentral:rRNA from 1 species
UACAGAGGGUGCGAGCGUUAAUCGGAAUUACUGGGCGUAAAGCGUGCGUAGACGGUAGCGUAAGUCAGAUGUGAAAGCCCCGGGCUCAACCUGGGAAUUGCAUUUGUGACUGCAAGGCUAGAAUCUGGCAGAGGGGGGUAGAAUUCCACGUGUAGCAGUGAAAUGCGUAGAUAUGUGGAGGAAUACCGAUGGCGAAGGCAGCCCCCUGGGCUAAGAUUGACGCUCAUGCACGAAAGCGUGGGGAGCAAACAGG